UACGUAGGGGGCAAGCGUUGUCCGGAAUCAUUGGGCGUAAAGCGCGUGUAGGCGGCCAGGUAAGUCCGUUCUGAAAGCCCGGGGCUCAACUCCGGAAUUGCCUUUAAGACUGCAUCGCUAGAAUUGUGGAGAGGUAAGUGGAAUUCCGAGUGUAGAGGUGAAAUUCGUAGAUAUUCGGAAGAACACCAGUGGCGAAGGCGACUUACUGGACACAUAUUGACGCUGAGGUGCGAAAGCGUGGGGAGCAAACAGGG
rnacentral:rRNA from 1 species